rnacentral:hammerhead_ribozyme from 1 species
AUCUAGCUGACGAGUUGCAAAUUGAACGAAACAUGCGUCCUGGAU